GGAGAAAAGGUCAUUCUUUGGAACAGCUGCAAGUUUGAUACCUUUGGUGCAUAUCUGCGAUAACCCUGAAGAGAGAAAAAGUCUACAGACUGUCUUUUGCAUGUAACAGAAGCUGGUACAUUUGAAGGGAUUUCUUCCAUGCCUUUUCUUAUUGGCAACUAUACAGUUCAGUUGUGUUGGAGGACCUCACCAUCAGGUCUCGCUCCCUCUUAGUAAGUGUCAAGAGAGACCAAGGCCACUGUUGCUUCUUCCAAAUUCCAUUUUAUAAGGACUCUCAAUUUUAAAGUUGAGAAGAUGGAUCAUAUGCCUAUCUGCUUCCAGUGUCCUCUUGCUUCCAGGCUGAAGGAGCUGUGUUCUCCAGGACAUGGAAUUAUUGACAUCAUCUACAAGGCAUAUUAACCAUGAAGAAAGACAGAUUUCAACUGUACGUCCUCUUUCUGCAGAGACUGAAGAAGAGAGUUCCAUGGACCCCAGCUUCAAAAAACAUGACUCUACAGUGUGAAAUAAUUGAGGGUAAGCACUGCGAAUUUUUUUUUUUUUGGGGGGGCCACACCCACAGGAAUGUGGAAAAUCUCAGGCUAGGGGUUAAAUCGAAGCUGCAACUGCCAGCCUACACUAUAGCCAUAGCAACUUGGGAUCCAAGCUGGGUCUGUGACCUACACCACAGCUCAUAGCAACGCUGGAUCCCCAACCCCACUGAGUGGAGCCAGAAAUGGAACCCAGAUCUUCAUGGAUAUUAGCCAGAUUCAUUUUCACUGUGCUGCAACGGGAACUCCAGCACUGUGAAUUUGGGACAUGAUGUCUCCCACACUGAGUAGAUAGUCCUGUACAUAUUGAGUCCUGAAAACACUGAAUGAAUGAAUCAAAUAGCCUUUUUUGGAGAUCCACUGUACUGGUAGUAUGCUAUGUGUUUUAUGUAUGUUCUUUCAUUCUUCUAAUGUUGUUCUAUGGCUGAGGAAACUGAAGCUAACUAGAAGUAAAAGAAGCUGAAGAUCUAGAAUUGACAAGCAUAGAAAGGAGAUAUGAAUAGAUCUGAAGUUCAAGGGGAGGACUCCUGCAUGAGCAGGGCCUUAGUCUGGGUGUUGAGACAUGUUGUGAGAUUCACCAUCAUGGCUCAGCUGGUCCUAGUUCCAGGCCCAGCUGUGGGGGGCCAUCACCUCUGAGGUCUUCUCAGGCCACCAUGUGGCAGCACCAUUGUCAGGCACUUGUUGUCAGUGACAAAAAUGGACUUCCUAUUUGCUCCUUCUAAUAGCCCCUUAAAAUAACACAUGAGUCUUUCAUAGUUUUAGCUUCCACUUGAGAACCUGCAUUCAGACUAAAACCUUUUUGUUGUGGUUGAGAUUGAUUUGCAAUCUGAUUCUUGCAUUAGAUAGCCAUUCUUAGGCUAUUAGGAGCCCCAUAGAAAAUUGCUCCAAUGGAUCCAUAUCACUUUGGGAAGUUCCCGUGGAAUUGUUCUUCCGGAGAAAUGAUAAAAACUCUGGGUCAGUCGCUAGAGUGUCAGCAGAUUGAAUGGCCAAAAGAGAAUGCCUCCCAUCUGUGGCCCUGAAGUGCUGGGUCAGCAGAGGAAAGUGGUUAAAAUAAUUACCGUGGAGUCAGGGAAUUUGGCAGAUUUGGGAGAUCACACAUGUAAAGGGACCUUUUUUCCUCCGUUUUCUUAUCUCAGACCCAUGUGAAUUGAUGAUCAUGAGGGCACCAAGGGGACAGAAAUAGACGUUAUCCUGCUCCGGUCCCAAACCGGGAAGAAAGAAAUAACCAACCCUACUUCUCUACAUGGGUGGAAUGAGGGCUGACCAGUAUGCAAAUGGCAGCAGACAUAUGGUUAUGUUCUGAUUAGCUACUAGUGAUUUGAAGCCAUGCAUAUGUAUCAACUGCUGAUGUAUGUAUGGACAAUACAUCUGUUUACACAAAUAGACUUGAAGCAUUUUUUUUUCCAUUUUUCUUAAGGAUCUAGUACUGGAUGCCCAUAGGAAAAGAUGUUUUACUUCCUUUUCCCAUUAAUUUUGAUCAGCCAGAAUCAAACUACUUUGUUUUCUCUUAUUCUUACUUUUGUGAAGGAACUUUUUCUUUGUGUGUGUAGCUUUACUAACCAUAUUGUUUGGGCUCUUGAAAAAGGAGGUAUGGGAGUUCCCAUUGUGGCCUAACAAGAUUGGCAGCAUCUCUGGAGUACUGGGAUACAGGUUAAGUCCCCGGCCCAGCACAACAGAUUAAGGAUCUGGCAUUGCCUCAGCUAUAGCAUAGGUUGAAACUGCAGCUCGGAUCUAAUCCCUGGCCUGGGAACUCUAUGUGCCAUGGGG
rnacentral:lncRNA from 1 species